UGGCCGAUUAGCUCAACUGAAUAGAGCAUCUGACUACGGAUCAGAAGGUUGCAGGUUUGAAUCCUGCAUCGGUCACUAU
rnacentral:tRNA from 1 species